UGGGGAAUCUUGCGCAAUGGGCGAAAGCCUGACGCAGCGACGCCGCGUGAGGGAAGAAGGCUUUCGGGUUGUAAACCUCUUUCAGGAGGGACGAAGCUACUCGGGUGAAUAGCCCAGAGGGUGACGGUACCUCCAGAAGAAGCCCCGGCUAACUACGUGCCAGCAGCCGCGGUAAUACGUAGGGGGCAAGCGUUGUCCGGAUUUAUUGGGCGUAAAGAGCGUGUAGGCGGCUAAAUAGGUCCGUUGUGAAAACUCGAGGCUCAACCUCGAGAUGCCGAUGGAAACCAUUUGGCUAGAGUCCGGAAGAGGAGAGUGGAAUUCCCGGUGUAGCGGUGAAAUGCGCAGAUAUCGGGAAGAACACCCGUGGCUAAGGCGGCUCUCUAGUACGGUACUGACGCUGAGACGCGAAAGCGUGGGGAGCGAACAG
rnacentral:rRNA from 1 species